AACGAACGCUGGCGGCAUGCCUAACACAUGCAAGUCGAACGAAGGCUUCGGCCUUAGUGGCGCACGGGUGCGUAACGCGUGGGAAUCUGCCCUUUGCUUCGGAAUAACAGUUAGAAAUGACUGCUAAUACCGGAUGAUGUCGCACGACCAAAGAUUUAUCGGCAAAGGAUGAGCCCGCGUAGGAUUCGCUAGUUGGUGGGGUAAAGGCCUACCAAGGCGACGAUCCUUAGCUGGUCUGAGAGGAUGAUCAGCCACACUGGGACUGAGACACGGCCCAGACUCCUACGGGAGGCAGCAGUGGGGAAUAUUGGACGAGGGGCGAAAGCCUGAUCCAGCAAUGCCGCGUGAGUGAUGAAGGCCUUAGGGUUGUAAAGCUCUUUUACCCGGGAUGAUAAUGACAGUACCGGGAGAAUAAGCACCGGCUAACUCCGUG
rnacentral:rRNA from 1 species